GUAGUCGAUGGGAAACGGGUUAAUAUUCCCGUACUUCUUACAAUUGCGAUGGGGGGACGGAGAAGGCUAGGUGGGCCUGGCGACGGUUGUCCAGGUUCAAGUGCGUAGGCUUAAGAGUUAGGUAAAUCCGGCUCUUUCUAAGGCUGAGACACGACGUCGAGCUACUACGGUAGUGAAGUCAUUGAUGCCAUGCUUCCAGGAAAAGCCUCUAAGCUUCAGGUUGUAAGGAAUCGUACCCCAAACCGACAC
rnacentral:rRNA from 1 species